rnacentral:rRNA from 1 species
UACGGAGGUGGCAAGCGUUGCUCGGAAUCACUGGGCGUAAAGGGCGCGUAGGCGGGGAGGUAAGUCGGGUGUGAAAUCCCUCGGCCCAACCGAGGAACUGCGCCCGAGACUGCUUCUCUUGAGUCCCGGAGAGGAAGAUGGAAUUCCCGGUGUAGCGGUGAAAUGCGUAGAUAUCAGGAGGAACACCGGUGGCGAAGGCGGCUUUCUGGGCCUUACCUGACGCUGAGGAGCGAAAGCUGGGGGAGCAAACAGG